AUUGAACGCUGGCGGCAGGCCUAACACAUGCAAGUCGAGCGGCAGCGGGAAAGUAGCUUGCUACUUUUGCCGGCGAGCGGCGGACGAGUGAGUAAUGCCUGGGAAAUUGCCCAGUCGAGGGGGAUAACAGUUAGAAACGACUGCUAAUACCGCAUACGCCCUACGGGGGGAAGCAGGGGACCUUCGGGCCUUGCGCGAGUGGAUCUGACCAGGUGGGAUUAGCGAGUUGGUGAGGUAAUGGCUCACCAAGGCGACGAUCCCUAGCUGGUCUGAGAGGAUGAUCAGCCACACUGGAACUGAGACGCGGUCCAGACUCCUACGGGAGGCAGCAGUGGGGAAUAUUGCACAAUGGGGGAAACCCUGAUGCAGCCAUGCCGCGUGUGUGAAGAAGGCCUUCGGGUUGUAAAGCACUUUCAGCGAGGAGGAAAGGUUGAUGCCUAAUACGUAUCAACUGUGACGUUACUCGCAGAAGAAGCACCGGCUAACUCCGUGCCAGCCGCCGCCGUAA
rnacentral:rRNA from 1 species